ensembl:lncRNA
CCCCCCCCCAUUCCUCCCAUAACGGUGGCAGAUGGCUGCAGAUGAAUCCCUCAUAAUCAUGUCAGGACGGCUCCUCCGAUCCCAAUUCAUCUCUUUAAACACAUUUCAUCAGAAGGAGAAUUACACAAAGAUAAAGGCGGCCGGCAGACAACAAAAGCACACAAAGAUUGUCCUUGCAAACAAGUGUUCUUAGUCCGUAACACCACUUAAUCAUUUGUGCUCCUGUUAUUGCUCCUCACCCUCUGUGCUAUCAACUCUACCCCAUUUCCCUCCCCUGUCUCUCACUCUUCCACCCUUUAUUUAUGGUGUUUUCCCCCAUACAGUUAAUUGUCUCCGUCCCCUGCUAGCGUCUGUCCAUUAUUAAGCAUAAAUCUCUCUAACAAGCUGUCCUCUCAUCCCCGUCGCUGCCUUUAUGAAGAGACAGGUGUGUAAAAUCCUCUCCUCCCCUCAUUGACUCCUGGUUUUCUGAUGGCUGCCCUUUUUUUUUUUUUGGAGGGGUGAUAAUUUGCCACAAAGUGAAUCGUGAUUUCCUUCCCCCUCAAGCCCACCCUCCCCCUGCCGUGACCCCGUGUCACCCAUCCGCACGAUGCUGUUAAUUGUGGAUCAGGUGAAGUUUGUCUCACCUCAUUUCAGGGCCAUGCUCCGCUAGGGCCAUUCUCCCCACUCAAAGGCCACAUCAUUUCACAGCCUCCUACUUCUCAUUAAUCCCUCCUGAGUGGCUGCUCUCUCCCAGUUCCAGAUCACAGAUUUGUUUUGCUCUUGUUUUCUGACUCGCUGCCCUCCCCGGCUACCCGCUCCUCUCCUCCGCCUGCACGUUAACCCCUGAAGCGAGGCUCCCCCUCCCCCCCCUUCACCUCCCUCACCACUGUCUUCCUUCCAUUUUUUGAAAUCAUGGCAUGUAGCCUAACGGCUGACAGCUGACGUUCCCCUCGCAACUCCUUGCUUUGCUGGCAUUUUCUUCCCUCGCAAAGAUCUCUUUGUUCUGUACCUUGGGGACUGAAGCUAGAAGCCACAGUGGAUUCGGGGGAAAACGGGCGGACAGGAGUCUGCUCGCUGUGCCAGUAUCACCUCUCGUUCCAGAACAACUCCACUCACACACCCGGCUGCAUUGUACAUCUGAUAAGAACCCGCCAACUCCGGCCUCCGAGAGACAAAUCGAAGGAAACAAUGGCGUCGCUGUGUGUUUGUGUGUCUGAUCAACGCGGCAGUCAGACUUCACUUGUUUCUUCCCCGCUAAACUUUUUUGUUGAUUUAUAAAUUAUUCAUGACAGAAAGCUGAAGAUCUCUCAUUAACAUAAAAUAACAAUUUGCUAAUUUAUGGAAACUCCUAAUUACUUGCCUUAUUUGCCAUGACCGUAUUAAAUAUUCAUAAACAUGUGAUCAUUUCUUUGAUUUGACUGUCGUUCGGCUUAAUUUACUAUUUUUGCUAAACAAUAGCGGUGUGCCAGCUUGUGCCGUGAGUAGCAACCACAACAAAAACCCAGGAGGGAACAAUGAACAAUAUUGUGCAUUCAUGGCAGGGCCUUUGAUUGUCUGACUCUUUCCUACAAUACACCUUUAUUUUACUUUAUCCAUAUGCUAAUUUGGGGGUUUGUGGUUGUUGAUGAUUUUAAACCCUUUGAACAUGUACUGAAUGAUCUUUAGGGCAUUAGAAAACAAUGAUAAAAAAUACAUUUCACAAUCAAUUCCGGUGUAAAUUGAAAUAUGCUUUGGUCAUUUAAAUGCCCCACAUCUGGGAAUAAGAUCACAGCUUUCAUGAAAUAACCAAAACUGAAUGUGCAGCAGCAGCUUGUUUAACUUUCUGAAAGAGCCCACUGAAUAUAUAUAAAACCAAACUCAACUGCUAUUUUAUGGAUCUACGGUUGCAGAGAAACGAUUGGGAUGAGCAAAAAACGUGUGAAUCGUAGCGCGGCUCCAGCUUCAAAAUCAAAAAUGCAUUAAUUCAUUUGGCUUCCAUCCAGAACUAAUCACUUCAUUUUCUGUUCUGUAGCAUGGAAGUCAGCUUUCACUCCACUUCAUUUCAAUUCACUCACACAUGAAAGGAAAAUAACAGGACGCGCAUGAAAAGAUGAGUCUGUCUUUGAAUAUCUCCUCUUGUCUUUGUGCCUUGCAAACUGUUGUCAGAUGAAGUCUCAGCCAAGUUCUCGGGAGAAAGCUGAGUCUCGGAUCCCAUCUGGAACGACGAAGAUGAGGUCUCUCGCUGUCGUCGCGUCUGUUGUCAAGGCUGCAUUUAACCUCAAAUUUACGACUUUGUUAUAUCAAAAUUAAUUACAGACAUUUCCCCCCAAAGUGAGUGACGUUGACGAAAACGCUAAGCACAGGCAAUUUAGCUCUAUUUGCCGAUUCAUUUGGGCCCACCUGUGAUGCUUGGUGUGCUAAGUAGGUACAUCAGUUUUAAUUACAGGCCUCGCAGAGUGGGUUUAGUUAAAUUACAGUAUUAAUUAUCACGUUUACCAGAUAUCAGAGUGACAAACGGUUGUGGAGAAGCACUUCCCUGAAACCUCCUGUUUCUCCAGACGAUGGUUUCACUGUCCUUCAAGCAACCUUCAGGCAGGUGGAGAUGAUGGAAGGCUUUGUUUUUUCGAACGAGAAGCGUCCACCUUGAUUCAUCACCUUCCACUGGCUGCCAGAGAUGUUCACUUCUGAAGCUCAAAGGCAGACUUGUAUGGGUUUUGACAUUUCAUGCUUCCACACAGAACGAGGCCCAAUGACAAGUUUUCUUGCCAUAUGGCAAAAUUAGGGAGACCAUUUGGAAAAUGAAGAAAACACCUCACUGAAAUCAAGGCAGUUGCGCCCAUUAUGAGGGGAAAAUAAGUGGCCUUUAUCCACGUCAUUACCCUCUUCAUUCAGUCAGCUACAUUAAUCUCCUCAUGGAUAAUAUGAUUCACGGUUGACUGCUACUUCAGUCUAGAUCUGAAAGAAAAAAUAGCGACCUUUGACCCCCUGCGAUCAUUCGAAAUAUAAGACAGUGUUCAUGAACCAAUAACAAAUAAGAAGCUUUUGUAGUAGAUUUAUCGAGAUUAGCUAUUGCUUGAUAACCAGUUUGAUAUCUGGGAAAUAUGCUCAAUCUCAAAAGACCAUUCUCAAGUCUGCACAGUAAAUAUGAGGCUGCAGCCGGCAGCUGGUUAGCUUAGCUUAACAUAUAGACAGGAAAGAGUAUUUGGCAAUGACAUUUUCUGAGCACCAGUGUUAUAUUUCCCCCAAGAAAUCAACUUAUAAAACCAAAAGUCACUAUUGGGCUUACAUUCAACCAAGUGGCCAGAAAUAAGACUCCAAAUUGAAACUUAUGUCACUCCAUAACUGCUGAAUGAGAUAAUAUUUAAAUUACGGCCGUUCUCAAGAGGCCCAAAGCUGUGAUGGUGGCUAGUAGCCUUUGGGGAUAACAUGAGGAGCUGUUUUCUGUGAUUCUUCACUUUUUUCCAAGCUAAGCUAAUCAACACUUCCAACUUCAUAUUUACCAAACAGAUACAGUAAGAGUGGCACGAUCGUCUCAUCCAGCUGUCAGAAAGAUAGCCAAGGCAUGUUUCCUUGAUUUUACAACAACACCUUUAAAAAAGGACCACGCCAAAAAAAAGACAUGUUGUCCAGGGAAUUAGACGCUCACUGUGAAAGACAGAGGUCCACAUCUGAAAUGUGUCCAGGGCUGGAACUGGACAGAAGGCCCCCAUUUAGCCUUUGGCUGAUGUUCUCUCCCAGCAAAGUAGUAUAUUAAUCAUAAUCACACAACACCAUUAGACUGUGUCAUUCUAUUAAAGACAUCACAUUAUCACACAUUUCAUUAAUUAAACUCAAAGCCAGUCCAUCCACUGCGAGGAGCGUCACAUAAGAGCAGGGGAGAGAGAGAGAGCGAGAGAGAGAGAGAGAGAGAGAGAGGGGGGGGGGGGGGCUUAGGACGAAGGGAGAGGUUGAGGGAGGAAGGGGGCAGAGGGCAGGACACUUCACCACUCCACUCACCGUCUCUCCAAAGUGAAAUGGAGGGGAUGGAUUUGCAUGUCGUGGCACGCGGCCAGAGGCUCAAACAAUAGGAGCCGACGACGGAGGUGUUGGUGAGGGAUCCUUCUGACAAGUGUCUGCAUGGUGGAGGACCGCGAGACUUUAGCGUGGAUCACUGGCGGGAUCACGCAGGUGUCGAGGUGUGAUGAGGUGUGAUGAGGAUGCAGAAUGCAGAGUGCAAAAACGCACUUCAAGGGGCAGAGAGAGGAGAGCAGCGUUGAUGUGCACUUUUUAAUGCUAAUAAUGCAGCGCCAUAGGCCACGAUCGGUAACGUUUCUUAGCCUCUGCAAUUAUAUGUGAACAAAGGCAACAAGAAACAACAAGUUAGUUCUCUGGUGAUGAUGUAAACAAUCACUGAUUAUUUUCCUUUAGAUAAUAACGAUCUAAUUCUGUCUGAUGCACAAUUGGCAAAUCUGCAAUGGACGUGAUUCAGUGCACAAUGUGAUACAAUGAUGUCCAGACUAAAGCAUUGCAUCAUAAUACGUCACACAAACGUUUCUCAAAAAUAAAGUUUGUUUGAAGGUUUUGAACAUCAAGUUUGUUUAUAGAAACUCCAUAAACUCUUGAACAUGACAUUUUUUCUUUGCAACACUGCUUUCUUCCUCUCACGCUUGACCAGACACUUGUCUGUCUUUUUCUUCCACCUCGGAACAACGUGGCCCCUUUCCUUGAAAAGACGAGACAGGGGAACCUUAAUGAUGUGCAAACAUCCGGGGAGAGGCAGCGCGCUUGUCUAAAACGCCCGGAGGGGGAGGAAGGAGAGACAGACAGGGACGCGGGCUCGUUUAGUCCAGCGCGGCGCUUCAAACACCGAGCUGUGAUUCCAAACAAUCGUCGGCCCGCUCCUCUGAUGUGCGCCCGUUGAAACCUGGAAUAGACCUGUCACUCCCUAACCCUCAAUAAUUGCUCGCCUGCAGAGCGGGCCGCGGACCCCGAGGGUGUGGAGGGUGCAACUGAGUGUACGCGUCCACGUGAGUGAUGUGUAAGAGUCCCAUUGGGCAAAGAGGGGUCUCCUUGCUCCCCCUUGCCCCGACACUGUGGCGGAGCAUCGCUCACUGCCACCUGGGGAAAGCAGGCGUCUCAUUGGGGUCAUGCCACCCCCAGUGGAAUGUGAGUCAAAAAGAAAUGGGCCUGAACAUUGCACAGUAUCCCCAGUCCGAGCUCCAUUAAGCCGGGCAUCCUCGCUUUGGGAUGGAUGUCCAUUAUUACAGAAGACCAUCCAUAUAGCUCUUAGUUACUGUGCUUCAUGCCCAACAUGGAGAGAGAGAAGAGAGGAGAGUCUAAUUCUAUACACAGUUUAUUUUCUUUGGAAACAGUUUCACAAAUACAACACAAAUUGUAGUGCGAUUAAAAUGUUUAGGACGAAUUGUGCAUUCAUUCUAAAAUCCCUCUUCUCUCACGCGUCAGACCGGUAGCUCUCCCGGGGUCUCAGUGUCUCUUGGCUCAGCCGAUGCCCACGGCUCCUCCUGGCAUGACGGGGCGUCCUGCAGAGAGGGACCACAGGAAACAGGCUGCGAGGCAGAAGGGGUCUCACAACAUGUGGCACCCUGCUCUUCCUCCACCGAGGCACCACCUAAUCCUCCGACGGAGCCCAUCGUGACCACCUGAUUGCAUCAUUUGCAAAUCUCCAGGAAUGACUGUAAAAACGUGUCUCGUUAUAGUUGUGGGGAGAAAAAGGACAGAAGAACAUCUUCAAAAGCAAACUAUUCUUGAGCCAUGGGAACAAACAAAAGACCAGAAUGAUUUUAGACAUUUUUGAGCACCGGGAUCACAAAUCUGCUGCAGCAAAAAACAGAUGAGACCACUCGCGGGUUUUGUAAUAUUGCAACACAGCGACGCCUUCUUGUAACACAACACUGUGUACGUGGUAUUUGAUGAAGAACAAGCACCCAGUAAAAGACAUCCCACUCGGUCCCGGUUGCCUCCACCUCUGCCUGUUUGUGAUGAAGGGCUCUUUUUGGUGUGAGAGUGAAAGAGACAGGCUGGGCUGGCUUGUCAUGUCAUAAAGGAUGCAGUCAGAGUGAGCAGACAUGAUUUCAUGGCUAAUGAUUCCCGCACUAAUAUCAGUGUGGGCUGCAGAGGGGAUAACCAAGUUGAGCUGUCUUAGCUCAAAUGAUUCAAUUAGGCCAGCUGUCCCUAUUUGUCAUGGCUCAACCGGCUUCUAGAUUACCUUUCCAGAGUGCGUACGUGCCUCUGCAUUGAACUUACCAGCUCAACAGUUUCAUGAAGCAAAGAAAUAAAUAAGGAAAAAAAGAGAGAAUAGGGGGGGAAGAAACGAAGGAGCGUUGGAGAGGAAGAAAUGAAACAAAGAAUGCAGUAAUAACCACAUUAUCCAGUUAAACUCUGAGGCCAAUUACAGAGAUAAAUGUGACUUUUUGUUGUGCGGUGGAUCCUUGUGGGGAAAUCAGAGGAAAGCCCUUAGAGCUUGCUGGAUUGACUGGAGAUGUUCUAUACAUGGACAUCUGAUCACUAAAAAACAGCAGAGAUAAUGUCAAGGUCAAGGGAUAAGCAAAAAUAACCUCUUUUUCUCACUAUUUUCUUUCUCCAGUGACAUUAUUUCCAUUCCUCUAUUUUAUUCUCAAGUUGUCUCAAAAAUGAAAAAUGUAAAACAGCACAAGAAAAGGCAGAAUAGAACACGCCUGUACAGUCCUGCUUCUUCACCGUUCCUUCUCUGAGCCUCAAUUAGGUGUGUGAUGAGUAUUAAAUUCAAAGAAGCAUUAGAGUCAUUAGCGUUGAUUGAGUUGAUGACUCUGAGGGCAAUGUCUUCCUACUUUCCCUUUAAUGUAGUUAAACGGAAAUUUGUGUCAACUAACCUCAUCAGCUCCAAUUAACACAAUUGUCAGUUUUGGGUCAGAGAGUAGACAACCAGGAUCGGCAACACUAAAACGUUAAAAUAUCUCGUUUGUUAAUCGUAAUUAGCUUUGUUAGUGCUGCCACGUUUGCAUUAACAUCGAACCCGUUUGAAACAAUGGCGCUACUGUAUUCUGCACACACGGCGUUAUGUGAGGUGGAAGCUCAGUUAGACGCGCCUGCUUACAAUUCAAAUAAACAAUAUCCCAUUAAAAGCAUUCUUCGCAGGCGAAACAACAACACGUCACUGCACCGCGCAGAAGCCGACGUCAACGCGAGAAAUGAAAGGUUUUUGUUCUCGUGGGCGACAUCCGAGCAGCGUAAUGGGACAAUAUUCCUUAAACGUCCUUCCACUGUACUGCUAAGAGUCUGAUAACGAUGUGAGUGGAGAUAAUGAGAUCACGCUGCUGUGUGCGUCGGGUCAGCUUCUCAUCCCUGAAACAUGUUAUUUCUGAGGAAGCGGACAAUACACACUGCCCUCCUUCACGUCACCUGGAAACAUGCUUCAUUCUUUACUUAGUGUCAUUUGCUUUUUGUUUUUCCACGUUCACACCACUCAUCACAAUACACAGACAUAACCAACGUCUGAGUAACACAAACACAAAUUAAUAAUUAGAAAUGCUGAACUUGUGGCGGAUUGUGAAUUGACAUUAAACCUGAAUUUGAACUGAAGGCACCAAACUGCCCGUAGAGAGUAAGUGGUUCAUUCAUAUGUGUUUCCAUUGUGUCUCCUCCGAGCGCUGGUGAACGAGGGCAGCCUCGCCUCCGAGCUGUCAAAGCUCUGACUGGAAUCAGCCUUAUUGCAGUGAUUGAGGGGACAGGCCUCCGCAGCACAAAAAACACCAUCCAACGGGACUAGAAAGGCCACGUUCAUACAACCGAGUUCACACAUUUGUCUUCGUUAAUCCAAUUCUGUUGGGUUUCGUCAGCCUGGCGAGCGAACGCUUACACAGUUAUACAGUCAGUGGAGAAAUAAAAGCACCAGAUAUGGCCAGAGGUCACAGAGCUCUGGCCAUAUCUGGUGAGCAAAUAGGAGUUCUUCUUGGGUUUGGCCGUGUUGUUGAAAAGGCCCCUCGGGCGCUGGUGCUUUCAGACCGCCUUAACGCUAAAAGUGUCAUGAUCGCUACAUUUAAUGUAACAAAUCACAAAUUGAUUGGUCGCUGAAACAAUUCAAUUUGAACAAGUAUUACAAACAUUUUGGGAUUUUUUUUUUACACAACACGACUAUUUUUUUGCUUAAAGACAGGCAGAUGAUUCUGAAUGGAACAAUUUUAGAUUCAUUUAGCAUAUGUUGUUGGCAUGAUAUUUUGCCGUUGAGCUCCUUACCGCUCGGGCCAAAUAGUGACGCUCAGACUCGACAGGCCCCGGGAAUAAAGAACAUCAUUACUGCCUUAUCUUUAGCGAUGGAGAGAGGUGUCAACGACACUUCUGCCGCAUGCAGGCAGCAGCUGAGCUGCGAGAUGUCCUGGCACACAGCACGGUCUUCCUGGCCAGAGCUUUGUAGCCAAAUCUUUACCUUUUAAUUACAGGAAUAUUCAUUGCUCAUAUUGUCUACACGUGAUUCAUUCUGUACCAGUUCUGACUGGAAAAUGUAGCAUCAGAUGGUUGAAAACAUUUUGGGAAAACAUGCUUUGUUGUUUCAUGCAAAGAGAAGUUGUGGAUACCUUUUUCGCAUUUUUUGUGUUAAGCAUCAAGAAAUUGUUCAGCACGAAAAAAAGCAAACAUUGGGUGUAACGCUUUGUUCUUUGUAGGCAUUGUUUUCAUUGGUGACGUUUGGAUACGCUUCAUCUCCUUUCUUAUGACAGAGGCUAGCUGUUUCAACCCGUUUUCACAGCCUUUAUGCUAAGCUAACGGACACAAGUUAUUUGGAUUUGUUUUUGCUGUAGCUAGAUAACCUCACAGCGUUAAGCUCACAAUUAGGCGUUAGUCUCCUCUUUGUUCAUUCUUCGUAUCUGCUCUGCCACCAAUCAUCACGUCAUCAAACGUGCUCCACUCGGCCAGAGAGCGAGAGACGGAGGGCUCGUAGACAACCUCCUCACCUGCUCCCUUCACCCCUCCUCCGCUACCUGCAACGCCGAGCUGCACUGCAUCCUGGGUGCAGCUGAGGCCAUGCCAAAACCCAAUUUGGAACGUGUCCAGCACUUCAUUGGAAAGUAAUGGUUUUCACUGAACUGAGUUAUGACCAGCUGUUUGCAGACAGUCGGUGACAUACUGAUGGAGCGGAACACCGUAUGUUGCUUUCCAAAUCAAAUGAUACAAGGAGUGUGACAGUGUGGAGAAACAUCUGUCAUUAGCAAUUUUCAGCACGCUCCACUAAUUCUGGACAAAAUGUGCCUAAUGAAGUUACCGCAGGAAACUUCAAAUAUUGUCAGAGCAACAAGGCCAUAAGAAGCCGGUGCUCACCAAGGCCUGUAAUCUGAUUCAUUUGUUGUGAGAAAAAUACAGCAGGAGGAGGGUAAUUGUUUUUUGAUCAUGAUGUUUCAAAAUGCAAAUCACAAACGUUGUUCUUUAAUCCGAGAACAAAAACCCGAGAAAAUCAAGGACACGACAGUGGCUGGCUUUUUCUUUAUUGAUGUCCCCCUCCCCUUGUAGCGGCGCUUCAUAGAUGGCGUUUCUGUAUGGGGGGGCACGUGAAAGCUUUGAUGGGCCGGGUGAUAGAGUUCAGUACAUGAUGAUCUGUUGCAGAAACCCCUCUGUUCAUUGCACAGAGAAUCAGUGUCCUUUGCUAACAGGUUGUUACGUCGCUAAUCCCUACAUAAAAUUAGUCCGUAAAUUAAUUUUGAUAACUACAUGCUUCUUUUAGAGCAUAUCUCUUGAUAUGCUUUGGCGCUGCGACCAAACACCCCACAGAAUUGCUUCCUCGUUGCCUUUAUUGUUGAAUACCAAGUUGAGAGUAGACAAUAAGUCGAGCACUAACAAUACUCAUUUGGCCACUCUCUGUUCAUAAUUUGCCAGUUCCCUGCUUCCUAAAUUUAUUCAGACUAUGUUGUGAGGAUGAGAGGGUUUGUGACAGGCAGCUCUGCUGAAAGUGGUCCUCUCCUCCAGAACAGUUGUUGUAGUGAGAAGUGUUAGAGACGGGUGGGCGUCUGGACCCAAGUAUGCUGCUCAAACACGAGGCCUGUGUCUAUCUGGCAGCCGUCUCCUGGCGGCAGAAGGGCCAUAAACCCGCCUGUGUUAAUUCUGCCGUAAUUAUCAUGGGUGCCACAUGUUAUGCAGGAUGUCCUACCACUGCAGAUCCACUUGAAAGUUUGCAGUGAAAUCCUUCCGCGCUGCUUAAAGCUGUGGCAGCCGAGGCGGACGCGGAGCGUGACAGUUGGCCGCUGCAAUUAGAAAGGGCUGCUCCUGGAGCCCCGCCCCCGAGUCUCAUUUCCUGUCGCGGCCCUUUGCAAUCAUGUGUUUUAUGCGGUGCAUGUUGGUGAAUAAAUGGCUGCACUGAGAUGACAAUAAUCACCCACACUGCCCCCAGGGAGGGGGCGGCCUCUCUCAGGGACUACAUUAGUCAUAAAUAUGCAAAACGGCAUGCUUUGUUUCAGUUCAAGGUUGCCUGGACUGUAUGGUUAAAAAUGUUAUUAUUAGAAGAAGUCGAAGAACCUGACGCCAAAUGAAACCUCACUAUAACACAUUUCGCAUGAAUUAGAUUCACAUAGAAGGAUGCACAGAUUUAACAAUGCCCGUGCAAUUACAACGUUUACUCGAUUGUUCUCAGUAAAGAGUCACCCAAUAAUCCAUCAGCAGCGUGAGCAUUACCCAUCACUCUCAGCCUCAGUCGUCCUCUUGCUGUCACGGCCAACGAGUGGCCCUCUCCAUUGCCUCAUCUCGAGACUCGAUGUCCCCCCAGGAGAGUCGCAGGCGGCCUCACUCAGCACCGCCCGGGCCGUGCUUUGGCAGGUCUACGCGGUUUAGCAACCUGAGAAAUCGCACACUCUCUCUCCCAGUCGGGGCGGAAGGCUUUGUGUCUCUCCCAUAUUGACCCACUCCCACUCCUGCGCUCCCGUCAUCCAUCUGUCGGAGAACACUUUCUUCCCGUUGUCCUGUGAUUCUGACAAGAUCACCCACAUGCUCCCUCCUUGUUGUCCGUUCACAGGCGGACAAACUGCACGCACGGGCGUUUGUUGGCGACACAAGUGACAAAACGGAAAAUCAUCAUUGUGUCACACAUUUGGACACACGUACACAUGCACAAUUAAACUUUUUUUAAUAUCUAUUACGUGCAGUUAUAUCAAUCCCUUCUUCCCCACUCUGUGCUCUAUGAUGAGUUUUAACGUGUCGUCCUGUUUCCUAGGCCGUAAAGGCAGCGCGGUGGCAUCUCAACUGUCUGUCACGUUAGACGAUGUCUCCUACCCCAAAUCUACUGACGUUGAUUUGUGAGCAUAAUGUCUGAUUAUAGGAUGGGUGACAGAUAAAUUCUAUCAAAAUUAAGGCACAAUUAAACAUUUCAUCUGCACUAAUUACUGGCUGUAGAUUUGGCGAGAUGACCAUGUGCUGCAGGAAAUCAGCAACCAUAACACAUUUUGAUGGGGCACAGCUGUCUUACAGCUUGGUAAUAUUUGCAUAGUGCACCAGAACUGUAAUUUAUGAGACAGAAAGAAGGAGAAAAUCUGCACUGGAUUGAGUGCUAGAUUAGAUUUUGAAUUUAUGUUCUUUAAUGAGGUUUGGAUUUGUUGCUGCCGGUUGUUUCUUAUCAAAGAUCGGUGUGGACGCUGUAGUGUCUCGGUACAUCUGGGAAGAGGGAUCAUUACUGCUUAUGUGUGUGUGUGUGUGUGUGUGUGUCUGCAGUUUAUGUAAAUGUUCGCUCGACUAAAGGUAAUGUUGCAUCUUGCAGCCUCGCACAAACAACAUUUAGAUUCACUCGCUGCGAGGAAGAGGAAGGUAGUUGAUUUUGAGUGUGCACGCAUCGCCGGCACUGGACAGACUUGAUGGGUUCACGCUAAAGUAAUCAGCCCCAGUAUCCGCUUGUGCCAAGGAAUAAGCCUGGGAAAUUCACCAAAAUGUGGGAACAGCUUGGGAACAGAUUGAUGCAGAAGGGUGAAAAAGGCUGAGUGAGUGUAUGUGUGUGCUGUAAUGGGUGUGUAUGUGUGUAUGUGCUCUCAGAGCUAAUUCCAAGGCAAACAAGGGGAAGCUUCUUCUAAGUAACUCAGCUCUGGUGUGCUCCUGUGCUCCGUCUCCAGUGAGCUCUGGCAUAGCCUCUUCAAUUAUAUUGAAGUUUGGCCACCAAAUCCCAUCUAAAACAGAUAGUUGAUGCAUUGUGAGGAAUGUAAAUUUGAUCAUUUUCACAUCUCAUUCAUCAGACGGUGGCUGUGAUUGGAAUUUAUCUUUGUCAGAAUUUACUCCUCGUCAGGGGUUAGAAAUGUUCCACCAUGCUAACCAGCACAAAGCAUUGUGAUCAACUAGGCUAUUUUCUUACUAAUAUGGGGUCAUUUUCACUUCAGUCUGACUUAAUAUCACCCCGGUAUUGCUUCACCGAGGCUUCGGCGGACCGGGCACGGAAGGAAAAGGGCUCGGGUGGACUGUGCUGGCAUGCUGCAGGCUACGUUUGGUUGGAUCCCACCGAGGUUAAUUCAACUGCUGUUGUCUGGAUGACACCUUCAGUCUGUGACAGACCUGCGAGGGCCGGGUGCUUGUGGCACUUUCACGAUACCCCACCGAUCUGUCCUUGGGUCCAGUUCAGGUGCCGCUCAGCACAGCACACUCCCCAAAGGCCCCGUUGACCUUGUUUCGUGCAGGGAUUAUUUUCAUAUAGUGUGGUCACGUCACAGUGCCGUGUGUUCGUUUAGGCAGUCAGACACUCAGCACGGUAGAUUUAGGAUUUUUAACUGUGCCUCUAAUACAAAUGAGAUGUUUCCCCCUCUAAAUUAAUAGAUAUUAAAUCCUAUUUAAACCGUUUUUUCAGGUUGACUUCCCUCAAUUUGACAAAAGUGAUGCAGCAGACUGUGGCCACGAAGCGUUUCCGCCUCGCCCUGAGCUGCAAUGUGACCACGGGCGAGUGCAGGGUAUGUCAGUUUGUGCACCGUGCUGGAGACUGACGAGGGGGCUCGCCCUCGCAGAUAACCAACCGGCUGUUGUCCUAAAAGUGCAGCACAUUGCCGUAUCGCCUCAGGACAACAAAUCAGGGACAGCAAAGGACAAUGGUGCAUGCUGAACGUUCUGCUGAUAUGAGAUCACUCUUCCAACAAAACAGGCAGCGGUUCAGAGUGUUUAUUGUGCUCACAAAGAGGAAUUAUGUUGAUUUGUCUUUCAAUGGUUAUGCUACGGUGAGAUUAUGAGAGAAUUUCUAUGCAAGCGAGUGUUUCCUCAGUCAUUAGGUCAGCUAUCCGCUUGAAUACUGCAUCUUUGCUGAGGAAACCCAAACAUUAGAUUGGAUGUAAUUGAGAGAAAUGAAGCCAUGCUUCAAGCAGUUAAGCCGUUGCACUAAAGCGUGCACAGAAAUGCUCUUCGUUAAUCUCUGAUCAAGUGGGAUAUUACCUCUCAUGGAGAGCUUAGUAAAUGCUCAUUAAGGCAUUACACCGUAAAUGCCUGGAUAAUUAUGAACUCCAUUUUGCCUCCCAACAAAAUCACACAGUUUACCAAACAUUCAGCGGCAAUAAAGUGAAUGAACUUUAGGGGUCUAACGGAGCAUGACAAAUGCGUAGUGACGUUACACAUGUCAGUUUAUAACCCUGAACAUACUCUUCACCCUCCUGGUCAUACAGUGCAUAUGUCAGGGUUAGGGACAAAAGCCUCCCGCCAACGUCUCAUACCAGGCUGAAUCUGUUAGAAUCAGACUCGUGCAUGAAUAAGUGCACACGAACUCUGUUGCACAGAAAAGUGCUGAUUAUUUUAUCAAGACAGUUAAUACCUUUUUAAAAGAAGUUAGUGUUACUGCAGGAUACUGUCAGUUUAUGACGUCGAGGUGUGAGAUAUAUGUCAAUAAACCUAGCCGUACAGCACAUGAAAUUGGAAAGACUAAAAACGUCCUCACGUUCUUCCACGUGCCAUUCUUCCCCAUUAUUCAGGAUUAGAAACAGGUGUUAGUGUGUGUCUGUGCAGAUGUAUUAACACAACCAUCACAUGCCCUGAGUAGGUCUGUGUUUGUUUUUUUGACAAGUGGUCCUGUGUGUGCGUCUGUGUGUGUGUGUGUGUGUGUGUGUGCGUGCGUGGAUGUUGUUGCAGGCCAGUGACAGCUGAAGAAGAGGACUGUAUUUGUGGAGGAACAGCAUGGCUGCAGAGAGGAGCGGAGAUCCUGAGGGAGGCCUAAUGGUUCCACUCCUUCCUGCACAGAGAUAAAGACUCAUAAUAAGCGUGUAUGCACACCAUCUGGCCCUGUGCAUGUGGCCCUUAUGGAGGCGAAAGCAGCACAAUCUGUAAACGAUCAGGAGCCAUGGCGCUCCCCCUAGAGAGGCCGCCAUGCAAUCAAGGUGACAGAUGGCAGCACCACUGCUGCGGCCUCAUGGAGGAGAUCAAAAUCACCUUCAAUAAACUCUGACUGGAAUGGGCACAGGCCCCCUCAAAAAGUCAGUUUGUCAGUCAAACUGUGGCAGCUUGUGGAAACAGGGGGAACACACAGCGGCCCGUCCGUCCACCGCCUGAUAUCCAUAUUUUCCGUCUGACUGAGCCUGAACUGUGAUCUUUCUCCAGUUGUCCUCUCGACUCGUGCCGGCGUGGGCGAGCUGGCUGCCAGCAGCCGCAGUGCUACUGGGGGGAAAUUGAGAACAUGAUGCCGCUAAUGUGGGGCAAUAGGAGCGGAUGGUGGCAGAGAGACAUUAAAUAACCGACUGGUACUCUAUUUAUUUUAUGACAGGACCGCCCACGAUUCGCCUCUCUUUGUUUAUUUAAUUACACAUUUACACACACACACACACACACACACACACACACACACACACACACACACACACACACACACACGCUUAAACACACAUACAUUCAACCACACAUAAACCAACGUUAUUUUUGCAGUAUAUAAUACAACUCAUCCCUAUAAAUUAGAUGUGCAUUCAACAGAGAGCUCCGGCUGAUUUCCUACCCUUUCAUAUUUUUUUGUUUUAACAUCUGAUGGAGCAGCAGGGUCCAGCCUCCGCACCGUGUCUGUAUCUGAGUGUUUGUGUCCUGAGCAUGGAGAUAGAAAUGCUUGGGAAUGCUAUUUCACACAUCCCCUUCAUCUGAUGCGCAGCUUCUGUCAGUGAUGUGAGAAAAACAGCCUGACUCUCCAAGCUUUUUUUGCACCAGUGCAAAAGUUCAAAAUUGAAACGCCAUCUGUUCAAUAAAACUAAUCUAGGCAGGGAGAGCCGCUUCCAAGGCUUUCCUCAUUGGAUGUGUCUCUUGUAUUCGAACCCCCUGCCACAUCAACUCUAGAUAUUAUCAUUUGCAAAAUAAAUUGAUGUAGGGCAAACAAGUCCAGGCCCACAAUUUGUGAAUAAUUUGUUUGGCGACUUGGCCUUUGAUCUUAUUUAACAUUCUUCUACGUCCACAGUUCCGUUUUUUUUUUUAAAUGAAUUAAUAUGCAGGCACUUUUAUUGUACGCUGUAUAUCUGGAUCCAGACUCUCGACCACCUUCACUCUUUAGUUUUAAUAAAACGCGGAGCCAUAAGUACUUUUAGAGAAAAUCAAACGUGCUCUCCUCUGCUUCAGCCUUUAAACACUCACUUAGUUAAUUGCUACACUUAUUUGAUUAAUUGGGCAAGUUCCAUUGUACUGUCUCUUCACCGCCCUUGUUUUAUCGAGGUGCCCUGGAGUGCUCUUCAUCAUCCACUUUUAAACAUUUUUACAAAUGUUAAAUAUGUGCACUUUAACUAAUAAUUAGAUCAAUUACACUAAUUACUAUCGUAAGUUGAAGUGAAAACACUAAAGUGGCUCUUUGGUUUCAUAUCCGUAGUGUGGUAUUUUUUUGACUCCAGUCUUAAAUCUGUGACCAAAUGUACUGGACCUCAGGGCUCUGGUCAUAACAUUUAAGGUUAAAAUAAUAGUACUUCUCUCAAUUUCCCAAAAUUCUCCCAAAUUGAAUUGGGUUUUUUCGCCAAGAAAUAUAUGGGCUGUAGGUUGACUGUACUUGAACUGAAUCUUCUGAGGGCUUUCUUAAACAUUAGUUGGGCUUUUAAUACACUUCUACUCACACACCCGGUACAGAGCUGCCUUGUUGAACCACAUAGUUUUUCGGCUGGGUCUUGGACAGCCAGUUCCUUUAAGAACUUCCGUCAAGAAAACAAAGGAAAUAGAUUUUUAAUCUUUGAGCUCUGCUAUGGACUUUUCAUAUAGCAAAUGAAUAAAUAUCCAUCCAUCGUCAAACCGCUUAUCCUGCACACAGGGUCGCGGUGAAUAAAUAUUAUAAUUGUUAUUUUUACUCAAUGCAAGGUAACUAUAAUAUGCAUUGGUUUCUUUCAAUGUAUUGAAUUGUGCAGUUGGUUAAUACAUGAAUUUCUAAAUACAUUUGCUUAAAAAGCACCUCAACUUCAAACUUACGCAUUUAAUGCAUCUGCCUAAUAUUUGGGAUCACUUUAAAGACAUUUAAAACUUAAAUAGAAUAAAUAUAAAUCGCAGUUUAUAGUCAUUAUUGCAAAACUGUUUAUGUUGCAUUUGCUUAGUGUUUCUUUUUGAACGUAUUAAGCGAAAUGUAAAGUAAUGAAAUGGUGGGUCACAUUAUGAUUCAACACUUGUUGAAAAUGUAGUUUUUCAGCUAACACUUUUAUCGUGCACAUUCUUAAAUAAAUAUUCUAAAAUUACACAGUAUUCUAGCAUAUGAAUAAUUCAAAAAUUAACAUCCACUGAGCGCAGGAGGAA